UAAUUAUAGUGAACACUAGCUCGGCAGUGAAAAAUACUGCAAAGUCACAUCAUCAAUGUGCUUUCAAAAUCAAACUGUAGGCCUAAAUAUAGCUAUAGAAGAAUGUAAACAAGGAAGCAAAUGUAAUCAGAAGCUGAGCAGUAGGAGAGAGGAGGUGGGGUGAAAAGGGAAGGAUGAGGAAGGUGGGGGUGUGCAAGGCUCUUGCUUACCUGGGUACCCGACAGGUGAGAUGGCUGUAGCAGACACUGGCAGUUCCCUGCCCACACACCUGGCCCUGACCACGGCUGCACAAGGCAGCUCUGUGUGCAAUUGCCAGCAUCUGCUUUGGUGUUGCUCUUGGUGCUGGAGCUUACUUGCUGCCCAUGUGACAGGAGCAGCUCUAAACCAGUGGUCGUGAGCUCUGUUUCGCACUGGCUCCCAUUUCUACACUGGGUCUGGUGCAGGUGCCUAUGGUGGCAGCUGGUGUGAUGAUUUGCCCUUUACUGAUGGCCUUCUCCUCAUCUUACUUUCCCAUCCUGUCCUUGAAUCAUCCAUUUCAGGAUCUGCCUCUGAAAGAACCCAAACUAAGGCAGUCAAUCCACCACAGACAGACAAGGAAAUAGAAGCAGAGCGUUUUAUUUAGAGAUUAUGGAGGAAAAUACGAAAAGAAGCAACUAACAGAACUGCAGGUCAUUACCUCUAGGGACCAAGACUAGAGGUGGGAAGGGGCGGAAGAGGAGACCAUGCUUUUAAAUAUAUGCAUGGCAUGUGCUACUUUAAUAUAAUUAAAAACAAUCACUUAAAGCAAAUUGGAACAGUGUAACAAAUGAAAUCAAAUGAAAUCAAAAGGAGAGAGCACAAAUAUAUCUGAGUAACUUGGUCUGUCCCCCAGCCCCCUUAAUGUUGUUACCUGAAUAUGUCAAUUGUUGUCAAAAGACAAGCAUAAACUGAAAUCGAUUAUUGUAUGGAUCUGAACCGAUGGAAAAUAUUCUCUGUACAGCAAUUUUAAAAGUAUAAUGGUAAUCACUGUGUUAGGGAUUAAGUAUACUUCCCACCCUGUGUUUUUGCCAUUGUAUAGGAAAAAUCAUGCAGAAUACAUUGAUAAUCACUGUAGAAAUGAGAUGAGAUUUAUUAACUAAAACACUUAGCACUUCACCUGGCACUACUUUAUGAAGAAGCACUUUGUAUAGGGCACUAUGUGUAGUUUAUAUAUAUAAAGAAACAUUUGUGUAUUGGGUUUGAAUGUUACUUGUUGUUGUUGAAUAUUCUUCUGCUAGUCCACCCUGUCCCUGAUGGAAGCUAUGCCCCCGGAUCAGAAACGCUUGAUGCUCAAGCGGUCCUGGGAAACCACUAUUGCAAGUAACUGUCAGUGCCCUCUACUUUCCACUAGAUGGCAGACUUCCCCCAGCUCUGUGGACGGCAGAUACCCAGGAGAGGAGGACAGAGCUUCAGAUCUUUGCUUUCUCCCUUUCCCUUGACCUGGAAAAUCACUGGGCUGCCUCUGAGGCCAGAUUUAGAUUUCCUGCACAAGCCAUCAUUACCUUGUUUAGAGGAGUGAAAUUAGGGUCGACCUGUCCUGUCAUUCCAGGACAGAAGGUGACAAAUAAGGUCCUUUAUGUGUAGCACUGAGGAGAAGGGCUUGUUCUUAAUUUUUAAGAUAUUUUCCAAAAAUAGAAAAAUUCUGUUUUACAAGUCAAAUAAGAAAUGAUUGAAAAACAAGUAUCACUGUUCAUAUACAGAGUCGUAGGUAAAUGUUCAGAUACAAAAAUUGUGACCAUAGAGCAUAUUUUUGGAUAUUUGUUUUCAUAGUGUGAUGAAUAUUUUUGUUUGCUUAAAAUUAUUUCAGAAGUAUAAUCAUAAUUCAAGCUUGAAAUACAAGAGUGGUAAAAUGAGAGCAAAAAUAAACAAGUAAUAAAACGCACCACAAAAUUUCUGACUCCAUUCCCUUUUAGGGAUUUCUUUUUUUACAAGAGUUAUUUUUAUUGAUUUGUGUGACACACUGGCUGACACGUUUUAAAAUAAAUAAACUUUGGG
rnacentral:lncRNA from 10 species